UACACUCGCACGCACUCUGGUGCUCGCGUGCGCGUACGUUUCGCACGCAGUUAAACGGGAAUCAGGGAGCCAUCCCGCCACGGGCACGGCCAACCUGAACUGCACCCGCAACGGUACAACGAGCGCAUCGGCUGCAAGGUCGAUGCAAGCCGCUUCAUCGCAUGCGCCGCAUGCAUGGCCACUGUGCGAAGCGCGCCCCACGGCGCGCCGCGCGGGAAGGCGAAGCGGCGUGACUCGUCAGUCCGGAUACCGGCCAGAUACGCGGGAUGCGCG
rnacentral:ncRNA from 1 species